GACGAACGCUGGCGGCGUGCUUAACACAUGCAAGUCGAGCGAGGCCCCUCCUUCGGGAGGGUGUCCUAGCGGCGAACGGGUGAGUAACACGUGGGCAACCUGCCCCCGGCUCUGGGAUAACUCCAAGAAAUUGGGGCUAAUACCGGAUAUGACCGCUGACCGCAUGGUCUGGUGGUGGAAAGAUUGAUCGGCUGGGGAUGGGCCCGCGGCCUAUCAGCUUGUUGGUGGGGUAGUGGCCUACCAAGGCGACGACGGGUAGCCGGCGUGAGAGGGUGACCGGCAACACUGGGACUGAGACACGGCCCAGAGUCCGACGGGAGGCAGCAGUGGGGAAUAUUGCGCAAUGGGCGGAAGCCUGACGCAGCGACGCCGCGUGGGGGAUGACGGCCUUCGGGUUGUAAACCUCUUUCAGCAGGGACGAAGCGAAAGUGACGGUACCUGCAGAAGAAGCACCGGCCAACUACGUGCCAGCCGCCGCGGUAA
rnacentral:rRNA from 1 species